UUGACGGGGCCCGCACAAGCGGUGGAGCAUGUGGUUUAAUUCGAAGCAACGCGAAGAACCUUACCAGGUCUUGACAUCCCCUGACAACCCGAGAGAUCGGGCGUUCCCCUUCGGGGGACAGGGUGACAGGUGGUGCAUGGUUGUCGUCAGCUCGUGUCGUGAGAUGUUGGGUUAAGUCCCGCAACGAGCGCAACCCUUGCCAUUAGUUGCUACGAAAGGACACUCUAAUGGGACUGCCGGUGACAAACCGGAGGAAGGUGGGGAUGACGUCAAGUCCUCAUGGCCCUUAUGGGUAGGGCUUCACACGUCAUACAAUGGUCGGUACAGAGGGUUGCCAACCCGCGAGGGGGAGCUAAUCCCACAAAGCCGAUCGUAGUCCGGAUCGCAGUCUGCAACUCGACUGCGUGAAGUCGGAAUCGCUAGUAAUCGCGGAUCAGAAUGUCGCGGUGAAUACGUUCCCGGGUCUU
rnacentral:rRNA from 1 species